GCGGACGGGUGAAGUAAUGGCCUGGGAAACUGCCCGAUGGAGGGGGAUAACUACUGGAAACGGUAGCUAAUACCGCAUAACGUCUGCGGACCAAAGUGGGGGACCUUCGGGCCUCACGCCAUCGGAUGUGCCCAGGUGGGAUUAGCUAGUAGGUGGGGUAACGGCUCACCUAGGCGACGAUCCCUAGCUGGUCUGAGAGGAUGACCAGCCACACUGGAACUGAGACACGGUCCAGACUCCUACGGGAGGCAGCAGUGGGGAAUAUUGCACAAUGGGCGCAAGCCUGAUGCAGCCAUGCCGCGUGUAUGAAGAAGGCCUUCGGGUUGUAAAGUACUUUCAGUGGGGAGGAAGGCAGUGAGGUUAAUAACCUUGCUGAUUGACGUUACCCGCAGAAGAAGCACCGGCUAACUCCGUGCCAGCAGCCGCGGUAAUACGGAGGGUGCAAGCGUUAAUCGGAAUUACUGGGCGUAAAGCGCACGCAGGCGGUCUGUCAAGUCGGAUGUGAAAUCCCCGGGCUCAACCUGGGAACUGCAUUCGAAACUGGCAGGCUAGAGUCUUGUAGAGGGGGGUAGAAUUCCAGGUGUAGCGGUGAAAUGCGUAGAGAUCUGGAGGAAUACCGGUGGCGAAGGCGGCCCCCUGGACAAAGACUGACGCUCANGUGCGAAAGCGUGNGGAGCAAACANGAUUAGAUACCCUGGUAGUCCNCGCCGUANACGAUGUCGACUUGNANGCUGUGCUCUUGANGCGUGGCUUCC
rnacentral:rRNA from 1 species